rnacentral:tRNA from 1 species
GGAGAGGUGGCCGAGUGGUUUAAGGCGCCCGCCUGGAAAGCGUGUUCACGAGCAAUCGUGUCGAGGGUUCAAAUCCCUUCCUCUCCUCCA